UGGUUCCAGCAUCGAUGAAGAACGUCGCGAAAUACGAUAAGUAAUGUGAAUUGCAGAAUUCAGUGAAUCAUCGAGUCUUUGAACGCACAUUGCGCCCGCCGGCAUUCCGGCGGGCAUGCCUGUUCGAGCGUCAUUUCAACCAUUAAGCACCAGUCUGCUUAGCGUUGGGACCUUGCGGGGAACCGCAACUCCCCAAAACCAUCGGCGGGGCCGGGAUGGCUUCAGGCGUAGUAGAUCUCUUCUCGCCUCCACAGGCAUCCCCGUGCCACGGCCGCGAACCGAGCUCGGGUGGCUUCACGCCGCCCGUCCUCACUUUUUUCUUGGUUGACCUCGGAUCAGGUAGGAAUACCCGCUGA
rnacentral:misc_RNA from 1 species